CGAUGCCUGAGUGGUAAAGGUCGAGAAUUCAUGAUUAUUGUUUCUGCCAAGUCGUGGGUUCAAGCCCCGGUGUCACUGA